rnacentral:rRNA from 1 species
AGCAGCCGCGGUAAUUCCAGCUCCAAUAGCGUAUAUUAAAGUUGUUGCAGUUAAAAAGCUCGUAGUUGAAUUUCGGGAUUAGUGCGCUGGUCAUGCCUUUGGUAUGUACUGGUGUUACUGGUUUCUACCUUCUGAAGAACCGUUAUGUCAUUUAUUUGGUGUGGCGGGGAAUCAGGACUGUUACUUUGAAAAAAUUAGAGUGUUUAAAGCAGGCUCGCGCUUGAAUACAUUAGCAUGGAAUAAUGAAAUAGGACGUUUGACCCUAUUUUGUUGGUUUCUAGGAUCGACGUAAUGAUUAAUAGGGGUAGUUGGGGGCAUUAGUAUUCAAUUGUCAGAGGUGAAAUUCUUGGAUUUAUUGAAGACUAACUACUGCGAAAGCAUUUGCCAAGGAUGUUUUCAUUAAUCAAGAACGAAAGUUAGGGGGAUCGAAGACGAUCAGAUACCGUCGUAGUCUUAACCAUAAACUAUGCCGACUAGGGAUCGGAUGAUGUUAUUUUUAAUGACUCAUUCGGCGCCUUAC